rnacentral:lncRNA from 1 species
GGGGGACAGAGUGGGUGGGGAGGGGAGCCGCCAUACAGUGGCCAGGACCAGCUUUGCCCAAGUGGUGGCAACCGCAUGACCACAGGAACGAUGGCGUGAGCCCCGUGGCAACCUGGAGGAAGGGCCAAGCCACUGGUGAAUAUGCUGCAAAAAAUAUGCUGGAACUUCUAUGAAUACCACAGGGUGUGAGAAGAAAACAUUAGAACUUCUAUUUUGUACCUGUGUUACUCCACAACAAGAAAGCAAUCAGCUUGAUCAAUGCCUACUGUAAAGACGGCACCGCCCUCCGGAGGUCCUUUCUCAGCCCUGGUGUUCGGACAGCCACAUCCCCUCGCAGCAGGGGGAGGCCUGAAGCAUAGAGGGGCCCAUGCAGGUCUAUUCUGUUUCAGCGAAUUGCCUGGGAAAUAAUCCAGGAUCCAUUUCGUGUGGUCAUCUUGUCUCCCUGGUCCCCUCCAGCCUUUCCUCAUCUUUUGUGACCUGGUCACUCUGGAAGGGCGCUGGCCAGUUAGUCCACAGGAUGGGCCUCCCCUGGGGCUUUUCUGAUGCUUCCUUAUGAUGGCACUGGCAUCCUGAGGGGGAGGACCACAGAGAGGAGGUGCUCCUCAUCACACCACAUGGGGGUCCAUGCACCAGUGCCACUGCUUUCCAGGGCUCUUCACCUUCAUCACUGGUGGAGGUGGCGUCUGCCAAGAAGCAGAAAGUUGAGGCUUAGAAGGUGCACGGCCCUACCUCUUCCGAGGUGCCCCUGCGGGCUGUCUACAGACCAGGCAGCACAUGCCUGAUAGCAGCUGCAUAAGGAAAAGCAGGAGCCAGCUCGUGCACAGUGGCCUCAAGUGUGCACUGGGCAUGUUCUCUGCCUCACCAUCCCUGUGUGACAGAUGAAGUCUGUCUUUCAGACACUUCUGAUGAAACUGAAAAUGCCACCAGGGAGAAGCAGCUGAAUUCAGAGCUGGGUUUUGCACUGUGUGCAGCCUGAACCUUCCAAAGCUGGCCUCAGCAAUGUCUCCCUUCCUGCAUGCUCCUCUGCAAUGUGACCCUGACACUCCUCCAUCAAGAGGUGGGGCCCAACUUCCCUCUUCUUGAAGCUAGGUUCAUCUGUGACUUCUUCAACCCAUAAACUUUGGCAAAAGUGAUAUGCUGUGACUUCUGGGGUUUGGUUGUGAGUGACCAGGCAGCUGCUGCCUUGUUCAGAUAACACUUGUGCUGAGGUCGCUGAGCCACUGUGGAAGACAUCCAAGCUCCAUAAAGACAGGUCAAGUGCACAUGCUCCAGUCAACAGCCCAGCUGAGCCCUCAGCAUACAGCCAACACCAACUGCAAGCUGAGGGUGAAACAACUUGGAUGUCCAUUUGGAUGUCAAGCUGGACUUCAGAUGCCUGUGGUUGCAGCUCUGUCUGCAACUACAUGGAAGACGCCAUGUGAACCACCUAGUAGAGCCCUUCCUAGAAUUGUUGGCCCUCAGACUCUACAUGCAUAUCAAAAUGAAUGUUGUUUGAAGCCAUAA